AAAAUAUGCCUAACGUAAAAUUUACCAGAUUAACCAUUUAAAUGUACAAUUCAGUGGCAUUAAGUACAUUCACAUUGUUGUGCAAUCGUCACCACCAUUCAUCUCUGGAACCCUCAUCUU